UACGUAGGGUGCGAGCGUUGUCCGGAAUUAUUGGGCGUAAAGAGCUUGUAGGCGGUUUGUCGCGUCUGCUGUGAAAAUCCGGGGCUCAACCCCGGACUUGCAGUGGGUACGGGCAGACUAGAGUGUGGUAGGGGAGACUGGAAUUCCUGGUGUAGCAGUGAAAUGCGUAGAUAUCAGGAGGAACACCGAUGGCGAAGGCAGGUCUCUGGGCUGAUACUGACGCUCAUGCACGAAAGCGUGGGGAGCAAACAGG
rnacentral:rRNA from 1 species